GACGAACGCUGGCGGCGUGCUUAACACAUGCAAGUCGAACGGAAAGGCCCUUCUUUCAGGGUACUCUAGUGGCGAACGGGUGAGUAACACGUGGGGGAUCUGCCCUGCACUUCGGGAUAAGCCUGGGAAACUGGGUCUAAUACCGGAUAUGAGCCAUUUGUAGUGUGAUGGUUGGAAAGUUUUUUCGGUGUAGGAUGAGUUCGCGGCCUAUCAGCUUGUUGGUGGGGUAAUGGCCUACCAAGGCGGCGACGGGUAGCCGGCCUGGGAGGGUGGUCGGCCAAAUUGGGAAUGGGAUACGGCCCAGACUCCUACGGGAGGCAGCAGUGGGGAAUAUUGCACAAUGGGCGGAAGCCUGAUGCAGCGACGCCGCGUGGGGGAUGACGGCCUUCGGGUUGUAAACUCCUUUCGCUAGGGACGAAGCUUUUUGUGACGGUACCUAGAUAAGAAGCACCGGCUAACUACGUG
rnacentral:rRNA from 1 species